rnacentral:rRNA from 1 species
AGGGACCAGCCCAAGAUUGAAAGCUGGCGUCUUCGGCGUCCGCAUUGUAAUCUCAAGAAGUGUUUUCCGCUUCGGACCAAGCCUAAGUCCCCUGGAAAGGGGCAUCAUAGAGGGUGAUAAUCCCGUACAUGGCUUGGAGCGCCCGAGGCUUUGUGAUACGCUUUCUAAGAGUCGAGUUGUUUGGGAAUGCAGCUCAAAAUGGGUGGUAAAUGCCAUCUAAGGCUAAAUAUUGGGGAGAGACCGAUAGCGAACAAGUACAGUGAUGGAAAGAUGAAAAGAACUUUGAAAAGAGAGUUAAACAGUACGUGAAAUUGCCAAAAGGGAAGGGUAGGAGGUCAGAGAUGCGGCCUGGGAUUCAGCCUUGCUUUUGCUUGGUGUUUUUCCCAGAUUGCAGGCCAACGUCGGUUUUGGGCACUGGAGAAGGGUAGGAGGAACGUGGCACCUCUCGGGGUGUGUUAUAGCCUCCUACUGGAUACAGCGACCGAGACCGAGGACAGCAGCGUACUCGCAAGAGCGGGCCUUCGGGCACCUUUACGCUUAGGGCGUUGGCAUAAUGGCCCUCUACCACCCGUCUUGAAACACGAGAACCAA